CUGGGGUUCCGACCUUCUAGCAGUAAGUGCUCUAGCGUAGGGAGUCUGGCCUUGCAGGAGCCCCUGUUUCCCCCACUUUUUUUUCCUUUACCCCCAGUAAAAACCUGCUUUACUCGUCCUUUAAACCGUCUGUGAGCGUAGGGAUUGACAAGAACCCCAUCUUUAGCUGCACUAAGGAAAAGUCAUGCAACAUUUUUGGCGCAACGUGGAGGCUCAAGAAGCUCUGACUGAAAUGGGGACUCAAAACCCUUCGCUGUUGUUACUACUAAGCCUUCUCGUCCUCAGAUUUCUGAGUGGGCCAGAUGUAUCUUGUUCUGUAUCCUGAUGGAGCAUGAGAAGAGAGUAGUGUCCCAGCUGCUUCCUAUCUAAUAUGUACGGGGCUUUUAGGAAUCCAUAUUUCUUCUUGCAAAAGAAGAGAAAGAAUCACAGGGACUUUGAUUUUUAGAAGGUAACUUUUUAGACUCAUUUUUAUCAGAAGUAGCUGUUGUACAGAAUCACAUUCUAAUCAAAUAUAAAGAUGCAUGUGUAAUUUGAGGAUAUAUUUUUAUAAGAGAUUUGAUUCUAUGCUACUCUUUUUAAGAGAAAGAGACAAACAGCUUCUUAGCAGAGUGUGACUGCUUACCUAGGCAUUCACAUGCUAUGUCUGUGAUAGUUCAUGAUAUCAUUAUUUUCAAGAUUCUUAUUAAAACAAGCUGAAGCACCAAAUAAGUAAUUGAACACAAUAUUUUAAAAUUACAUUGCUUUAGAGUAUCGCAUUUAUUUGUUAGCACUCAUCUAACUCUUCCACUUUAUCUAAAUAUGUUGAAGAUUAUUCCAAAAGGAUAAGAGAUUGAAGUUGGUUUUUUUUUUCACUUUCAUCAAUCUUUACCUUAAAAAUGUUGGAAACUCUGGGGCCAUCCACUUAAUAUGUUUUCAUGUUUCCGUGAAGGCUAUUCUUAAUACGCGUUCUUGCCGCCGCCUUUUUUUUUUUUUGCUAUGUAAAUAUUUAUCACUCUUCCAUGUGCAAAUAACUUAUUUUAGUCUUUGAAAAAGAUGAUACAUUAUUUCAGAAUAUUUGAAAUAUGAGGGGAAAUUAUUAAAGUUAUAUCUGGGUCUGUGUGUGUGAGCUAAACCAAAUCCUUCUAUUAUUUUGCUAAUGCAAAUGCAUCUGUAUACUUUUCAAAAGACUGUUCUAGAUUAAGAGCAUGACCAGAUGUGGAAGAGUA
rnacentral:lncRNA from 13 species